GUCCUUUUGUCAUUCAUAAGCAUGAUGACUGGGUGUUCAUGCUUUUGUGUGACAUGUGCCUCCCUCACACCUUGUUACAAGUUGGCACAUUACCCAUCUGACA